GCGUCGCACCGAGCACAACACCGCCAGUCGUGCCUCCGCCAGAAGCCGCCUCGCCGGAAAACAGAGCAUCGCAAAUCGCAAUUCGCAGGUCGGCAAACCAUUGCUAUCAUAUGCAUCAGUAAGUCCGGCCACAAGUUGGAGGACGAGACGUUGGUUGGAUACCGGAAAGCCAACGCCGGCGAGCUGGUCAGAAAUCAUCUUCAGUUUCUGGCAAUAUGCAGAAACGGUUUUAAAAUUCUCGAGUUGAGUGUUAGAGAAUUGUUGUUCGAGAUAUACGGCCCGGGAAUGUUUGUUAUCCUGAAAAAUGUCUCGAAGACGUUCCCAGGCCUGUUUAGCAGUAGAAUCAGGUUCUAAGAUAGUGAGCAUAAGGUCCUCAUAUAUGGUUCCAUAAAUCCAUUGAAGGACUACGGCGUCGACGCGAUCCCAUGCGUUUUUGUCCUUAAUUUCCGGUGGCUCGGCAGGGGUGAUAAUAUGAUGGAGGACGGUGUUGGCGCGAGCGGUGACUUUGAAGAGCUCGGCCCAGGAGGAGUAAUGGGUGUUUUCAACGUCAAGAAUGAGGGGAACAUGAUGUUUUAUGUUAAGAGAGAGAAGAUUGGACGAGUUCUUGGGAUCGACAGUCAUGGAGGAUGGCUCGUUGGGGAAGACGGCUAGGUUUAGAAAAGAGGGGGGAAAAAUACAACCUAUGCUCUGAUUAUCAUAAUAGAAUAAUAUCUUCCUUGAUUUUUUUUGA